rnacentral:rRNA from 1 species
GAUGAACGCUGGCGGCGUGCCUAAUACAUGCAAGUCGAGCGAACAGAUGAGGAGCUUGCUCCUCUGACGUUAGCGGCGGACGGGUGAGUAACACGUGGAUAACCUACCUAUAAGACUGGGAUAACUUCGGGAAACCGGAGCUAAUACCGGAUAAUAUAUUGAACCGCAUGGUUCAAUAGUGAAAGACGGUUUUGCUGUCACUUAUAGAUGGAUCCGCGCCGCAUUAGCUAGUUGGUAAGGUAACGGCUUACCAAGGCAACGAUGCGUAGCCGACCUGAGAGGGUGAUCGGCCACACUGGAACUGAGACACGGUCCAGACUCCUACGGGAGGCAGCAGUAUGGAAUCUUCCGCAGUGGGCGAAAGCCUGACGGAGCAACGCCGCGUGAGUGAUGAAGGUCUUCGGAUCGUAAAACUCUGUUAUUAGGGAAGAACAAAUGUGUAAGUAACUAUGCACGUCUUGACGGUACCUAAUCAGAAAGCCACGGCUAACUACGUG